AUAUUCCUGCAACAGCCAGUUAGUAUAUGCUACAUUUUGUGAUGCCAAUGUUGGGGUUUUCGAUGCGGAUACCUUAAGACUUAGAUGUCGUAUUGCACCAUCAAUAUGCUUGUCACAGGCAGCUUUAAGUGGGUAAGUUUCAGUUCAGUGGAUCGGACCCACUUUAGUCUUGAUUAUGUAUUAAAUUUUGAAAAUUUUGGUGCAUUGAAAACUCUGCUUAGUUAUUUGGCGCUGUUUCAAUUUGUAGACACACUAGUAUUUUUGUGGUGGAGCUUGAUAUUUGAUCCAUUUUGUGAAUUGCAGAAGCCAAGCUGUAUAUCCUCUUGUUGUUGCAGCUCAUCCACUAGAGCCAAACCAGUUUGCUGUUGGGUUAACAGAUGGGUCUGUCAGAGUGAUAGAACCCACUGAAUCAGAGGGUAAGUGGGGAUCUUCUCCUCCUAUUGACAAUGGAAUAUUGAAUAGGACAACAUCAUCAUCUACAACAAGCAACCACACGGCCGAUCAGUCCCAACGAUAGGAUUCAUUGUAUGAUAUCAGCAUAGUUCGGUCCACUAGUAAUUUUAUCAGCCUAGAUAUUUAGAUUUUGAUACCUCAAUUUGUCUAAUCAUGUCAGGUAAGCUUGGCAAUAAAAUGGUAAAUUUUUAGAUGUAUGUGCCCUUGUAUACUUUAAUUUAUUCUACACAACUCAAUUUGAUUGUUUAUAUGUCAGUGUAAUGUUGUUUCUUGUAACAAUCUGAAUCUGUUAAUUCUCCUUACAAUACUCUAGAUGAAAUCUAUUUGAUUAUUAUUGGAUAGGAACUAAGAAAUGUCAGAGAGUUCCAUUCCCAGAUUGUGCUAUUCUUUUUUUAUUGUAGAUUGUAGAUUCUUCCCACAUCCCCAAGUUUGCAAAAUUACCUUUCUCCCUUCACUUCACCUUCUUAUCUUUGAAAUCCUAAUGGUCUAUUUGGAAGCUAGACUUUGGAGGGAAAAAGGGAAGGCUUAGAAGUCCUAUCAAAAUUGUAUUUCAUGGAUCAUAAGCUUUUUCUUUCCCUCGUGCUCUCCAAAAACCAACUUGCGAAUAGACUAUAACUCUUUUUAUUUUUUCGGAUGAGAUUCAGACUUCUAUUUCAGCAUCAAUAUGGUAGCAAGCACUAGUACAGCCAUGUUUGCUGCUACUUGCUUUUCUGGGAGACAGCAUGACAUGUCAUGUGUUUGAAGCUCUGUUAAAACCUAUAUCCAUAACCUUGCCCUCAGGACAUGCAUAACAAUAGUAUGGAAGGAGCCUUAUGGACUUUGGUAGUGAAAUUAGGAUUUUGUGAUAUUGAUGUUAGAAAAAUAAAUAAAUAAAUAUAUAUAUAUAUAUGCAUUUACAGUGUAAGAGUUUUAUGUAUUGUCAUUGUAUCAUCUAUCAUUCAUGAUCCCAUUAUCCCCCCCCCCCCAAAAAAAAUGGUAUCCCUAAUUUUGCUUGCGACUCUCAGAAGUUGCAUGUUAUUCAUCCUAGUUUUUUACUCUUUUUAAGUUCAAUUCUAAAUGAAUUAUUGUCACUAGUAUUUUGGCAGUUGCAAUUGUAUUUACUUGGCUAAGCGAUCAGGAGACUAUGUUCUUGUAUUUACUUGUUCAACAAUUUCAUAACAGCAUGUCAUGAUUUAAGCACUCACCCCACCUUUUUUUAUUGAACAGUGUCUAUCUUGAAACAUCCUAGAACUCCUCCAACAACUCCUGGGAUGGUUGAUUAUCAAAAUGCUGAUCAUGAACAGUUAAUGAAAAGAUUCAGGCCUGGUCAUUCUGUUGAGGAGGUAAUUUUGAUAAUUCUGUUCAAUUUGUCCGUGUGUCACUUAUUUUGUGAUGCAAAGGAAUCAUCUGUUACCUCUGGUUAUGUAAAGGUUGGUAGCUCAUGUCAGUACACUUAAUUUAUAUAAUUUCAGGUUUCAUAUCCUUCAACUCGACAAGCCUCUUGGUCACUGGAUGAUCUCCCAAGAAUGGUUGCAAUGACUUUGCAUCAAGGAUCCUCUGUAAUAAGCAUGGAUUUUCAUCCUUCUCACCACACCUUACUUCUUGGUAUUGUUUAUCAUAAUCAUGUUCUGUAUGUAAUAUCUUGCUGAAAUACUGACAAAAAUAUGACUUACAGUUUUAUUUUUCUUCCUAAUGGUAUAUAUUUCAAAUGAGCAGUUGGUUCUGUUAAUGGUGAAAUCACCCUCUGGGAACUCAGUUUGCGUGAAAGGUUGGUUUCAAAGCCAUUCAAGAUAUGGGAUAUGCAGUCAUGCUCGUUGCCUUUCCAGGUUUCAUACUCUGCAAUAAAAUAAGUAGCUUAAAAGCGGGCCACUAUAUUAUUAUGCCAGACCAUUUGUCUUGGCACUUGAGAAUUCAAAAUCUUCGGAAUUUAUGGUUGAGGAUUUUGCAGGCAGCUGUGGUUAAAGAUGCACCCAUUUCUGUCAGCCGUGUCACUUGGAGCCCUGAUGGGAAUUUUGUGGGUAUGUAUGUGACUUCCUUUUUCUUAAAUCCUUUGGAAGCCUUAGAUCAAUAUCUAACAGGUUGCUUUGCUGUAGGUGUUGCUUUUACUAAACAUUUGAUUCACUUAUAUGCCUAUACUGGAUCAAAUGAGUUAGCCCAGCGUAUAGAGGUGAGAUUCUUCUCAUCAUAAGUUGCCCAAGUUUUUAUUGCGGUUUGAUUUACUUCUCCUUGCUGAUACAGGUUGAUGCCCAUAUUGGUGGUGUGAAUGACUUGGCAUUUGCUCAUCCAAAUAAACAGCUUUGUAUUGUCACUUGUGGGGAUGAUAAGUUGAUAAAGGUGGAUAAAAUUUACGAUUGCAAUUUUGGAUUAUGCAAAAAUUAUCUAUUUUUCUGAAGAAGGAACUCUUAAUAGGUGUGGGAUUUAAAUGGACGGAGGCUAUUUCACUUUGAGGGGCAUGCAGCACCAGUAUAUUCUAUCUGCCCUCAUCACAAAGAGAACAUUCAGGUACAAAGUAGAUAUCAUUCUUGAAAUGUUAAUUUUCUGGAAGGUUUUAUGAAAUAUUUCACUUGCUAUAAUUCAAUUGGUCUGUACUUAUUUAAUUUACGUAUAUGUCAUGGUUAUUUGAACGUUAAACUUGUAAAAACAACUUUUAUUUUGGUCUUAGAAAAUUACAGCCCCCAUCUCAUUUCCACACAUAUUGGCCCCUUUACACGAAGAUAUAUAUUGUUUAACUACUUGCAAGCUCUACGCAUAUACGCGGACAUUAAAGGUUGUUAUUUUAACUUUGUAGUUCAUAUUUUCAACUGCCAUUGAUGGGAAAAUAAAGGCCUGGUUAUACGAUAACAUGGGUUCUAGGGUUGACUAUGAUGCUCCUGGUCACUGGUGUACUACAAUGCUUUACAGUGCUGAUGGAAGUAGGUAAGAUGGAUUUGGGUGUGGAUAACUAUCUUUUAAGUUUUAUGUUCAAUGGAUAAUUGAUAUGAAAGUGUCUUAUCAAUUAUCACGUCUUCCAAUGAUUUCUGCUGACCUUUCUCCAGAUUGUUUUCUUGUGGGACGAGUAAGGAUGGAGAGUCUUUUCUUGUUGAAUGGAAUGAAAGUGAAGGAGCCAUUAGGAGAACAUACAAUGGAUUCAGAAAGAAAUCUACUGGUGUUGUGCAGUUUGACACAACUCAAAAUCGCCUUUUGGCUGCAGGUGAAGAUGGGCAGAUAAAGUUUUGGGACAUGGACAAUAUUAAUCUUCUAACAAGCACUGAUGCAGAUGGUGGAUUACAGGUCAGUAUUUUAUGGUUAACUGUUUUGAGUCCUCUGGAGUAUAACUCCACUUUAUAAGACAUGCCUUACAUGAUUGUAUGAAUCUAUUUAGGGCCUUCCACGCUUGAGAUUCAAUAAGGAAGGGAAUAUUCUUGCUGUUACUACUGUGGACAAUGGAUUCAAGAUACUUGCUAAUGCUACUGGUCUUAGAUCCUUAAGAACAGUUGAAACGCAUACAUUUGAAGCAUUGAGGUCACCCACUGAAUCCACUGCAAUCAAGGUAGUCAUAUAGUUUUUUUUGUUGCUUGGUUCCUAAUGAUGUGAUCAAAAUAUGUUCGUAAUUGUGUACUGUCCAUUUUGUUUAUGUUAUCUAGGUAUCCGGCCCUUCUACUGUUAGCCCUAUCAACUGUAAAGUGGAGAGAAGCUCCCCUGUCAGGCCUUCUCCAAUUCUUGUAUGAACCUGACCCUGUGAACUUAAUAAUCAUGGUUAUGAUGUUAGCAGGACAUUGGUAGACAUUUCAUUUCUUUAUACACUACACACACAUGCACCAUCUUGUGGAAAUGGUUUGGUGGUCCUUUUAUUCAUUCUUAUAGUAUGCACAACUCUGGUAUGCUAUGCCAUUGCAUGUAUGGAGGACUACCUUUUGGAUAUGCAUAAAUUUUACUUCAUGGAGAAAAUGUCCUUCUUAUCUGGCCUCACUAUUAGAUCCAGAAUGUGGAGUUGAAUUUGCUUUAUUUUUUUAUGUUACUUUUGACUUGUGAAUUAUUUGGUGCAUCUUGAUACUUAUUUGCAAGUCAUUAAUUGGUUUUGGAUUUUUCAAUCAAGAAUGGAGUUGAUCCCAUUGGUCGAAGUGUAGAGAAACCAAGAACAGUGGAAGAUGUAAUAGAAAGAACUAAACCAUGGCAGCUGUCUGAAAUUCUGGAUCCUGUCCAAUGUCGAUUAGUUACCAUGCCUGGCAGCACAGAUUCUUCCAGCAAGGUGAUGACUGUUGACAUGCCAUAUUCUAUUGCAAACUUCAUGUUUUGUGCAUUGCUUUGAUGCUCUGAUUAAAUAUAUAGGUUGUUCGACUUUUGUAUACGAAUUCUGGUGUUGGUAUUUUGGCACUUGGUUCAAAUGGUAUUCAGAAGUUGUGGAAGUGGGCUCGCAAUGAGCAGAAUCCCACUGGGAAGGUUCGUAUUAACUAAAGAGUUACUUUAUUUAUUUCCAUCACCAGUCCUUUCCUUUCUCUACACUUUUUAUUAGUUUCUCCCUUUCCGUAGUGAACAGAAAUAUGUUAUUUAUGUGAUUACAGGCCACAGCCGGUGUUGUUCCCCAACAUUGGCAACCCAACAAUGGUUUCCUUAUGACAAAUGAUAUCUCAGGUGUCAACCUUGAAGAAGCAGUUCCUUGCAUUGCACUUUCAAAGAAUGACUCCUAUGUUAUGUCUGCCUGUGGUGGAAAGGUUUCACUAUUUAACAUGAUGACAUUCAAGGUGUGUGUCCAGAUAUACAAUCUUGUUGUAUUCUAUAGUUGUUAAGUUUACUGAUUAUAUGUACUUUUAAUUUACGUUUUUUUACAGGUAAUGACAACAUUCAUGCCACCGCCUCCUGCCUCUACCUUCUUAGCUUUCCAUCCCAAGGAUAACAACAUUAUAGCCAUUGGGAUGGAGGAUUCAACCAUUCACAUUUACAAUGUCAGAGUAGAUGAGGUGACUACUAUCUGUAACAGCUUAUUUCCUCAUUGUGUGGUUACAUGAUUUAUUUCUAAAAAAUCUCAGACGAACAUAUUUAUUUCUAUUUGGGGGUAUAUUCUAGGUCAAAUCAAAAUUGAAGGGUCAUCAGAAGCGUAUUACUGGUUUAGCCUUUUCAACCCAUCUUAACAUCCUGGUUUCAUCUGGCGCUGAUGCUCAAGUAAGUCUUUAAACUGUUCUCCUUCCUUGUAAGAUUCAAAGUGGGCCUGGAAAACCAUGUAUGUCAGUUAGCGUCUAAUAAUUCGAUUUUGAGAUCUUGUUGUUAGUUAUCUUACUUUCUAUUAUUUGUAGUGAUUCCUUGUUAUGUUAGAUCUGCUUUCCAAUGUAAGAUAACAAAAUAGUCUUGCUUGUAGAUCCUGGACUUGUAUGAAAUUAGAUAAAACAACCCCACUUCGUUGAUAUUAUUUUAUGAGGAGGUGCAAAUACUUAUAAUGUGUUAUCUAAUUUCAGAAACCAAAAUCACUCUUUAUUUCAUUUUGCUUAGACUCUGUGUUUUUCUGUUAAGUUAAUUAAAUCUUUUUGCCCAGUUUUUUUUAAAUGUUUAUUUAGUUUAACUCCUUUGAUUUUUUUUUUUCUAAUAGUUAGCUAAAGAGGGCGUGAGGAGGUUGUAAAUGAUGAGUAGAUGCACUUGUGUGCAAAUUCCUUUCUGGCUUGUUGCACUUAAUAAAUUUGUCGAGUUCCUUUUGUUUUGCCCCCUGCCCUUGCAAUUUUUGGUGCUAUAUCUGAAGUACACAUGUUUUAUUCAUAUGUGCCUCUACUGCUCUUAUCAAUUGCACUGUUUUCCUUAUUAGGUAACAUUAUCGCUUGUCGUGAUCAAUGUUUUCACUUUUAGUUUUACGAGUUUCCUGUCAUUUUGUACAGCUUUGUGUGUGGAGCAUUGAUACAUGGGAGAAAAGAAAAGCAAUUCCAAUACAAUUACCAGCAGGAAAGUCACCUGUUGGUGAUACACGAGUCCAGUUCCAUUCAGAUCAACUCCGCUUAUUGGUAGCCCAUGAGACCCAGUUGGCAAUAUAUGAUGCCUCUAAGAUGGAUCGCAUUCGGCAGGUAGGAAGAUUCUUCUACUAUUCAUAUAGCAUGUGGUUGAUGUCAAAAUAAAAUUGAGAUAUGCUCACUGAUUCUUUUUUGUUCAGUGGGUUCCACAAGAUGCUCUGUCUGCUCCCAUAUCAUAUGCAACAUAUUCCUGCAACAGCCAGUUAGUAUAUGCUACAUUUUGUGAUGCCAAUGUUGGGGUUUUCGAUGCGGAUACCUUAAGACUUAGAUGUCGUAUUGCACCAUCAAUAUGCUUGUCACAGGCAGCUUUAAGUGGGUAAGUUUCAGUUCAGUGGAUCGGACCCACUUUAGUCUUGAUUAUGUAUUAAAUUUUGAAAAUUUUGGUGCAUUGAAAACUCUGCUUAGUUAUUUGGCGCUGUUUCAAUUUGUAGACACACUAGUAUUUUUGUG
rnacentral:lncRNA from 1 species